UAUGUACAGCUGCAGUAUAUGUACAGCUGCAGUAUAUGUACAGCUACAGUAUAUGUACAGCUGCAGUAUAUGUACAGCUACAGUAUAUGUACAUCUACAGUAUAUGUACAGCUACAGUAUAUGUACAGCUACAGUAUAUGUACAGCUGCAGUAUAUGUACAGCUACAGUAUAUGUACAGCUACAGUAUAUGUACAGCUACAGUAUAUGUACAGCUACAGUAUAUGUACAGCUACAGUAUAUGUACAGCUGCAGUAUAUGUACAGCUACAGUAUAUGUACAGCUACAGUAUAUGUACAGCUGCAGUAUAUGUACAGUUGCAGUAUAUGUACAGCUGCAGUAUAUGUACAGCUACAGUAUAUGUACAGCUACAGUAUAUGUACAGCUACAGUAUAUGUAGCUUUCAGUUUAUACUUUUAAUGGACCUAGCAGUGCCACACUUUAUCGUAGGGGUGAGAAAAACACUUCAACACACCACACUAGUUAGUCCAUGACACUAAUUAACUCAUCACACUUAGCGCCUGUCUGUGCCACUCGGGCACAGUUCUAAGCAAUAAAGAUUGAAUGAAUGUCUGGUCACGUCGUGUCCAUGUUUUGCACAUAGAAUAUACUGCUGAAAUGUAAGUUGAAGGAAGCAUUGUAGGCAGCAAUUCAACAGCUUGUCAUUGGUACGCCAAGCAGGGAUAACAAUAAGGUACCAAAUCCUAAUAGGCAGUUUUCAGCUGAUGUCUUUAACAAAUUUUUCCUUUGUUAGUAUAGUCAGUUUUCACUCACAAUAAUUAGUGGACCAAGCCAAAGCAUUGGUAUUAUCCUGGAGCAAUUUUUUACAAUAUCAAACUCACCAGACACUAUUGACUCUGUUGGGAAGAUGGAGGAUCACAUCAGUUUUAUGUUAAAUAAAUAGUUCACAAAUAAAUGAUACUAUAACAAUCCUGAAUUGUGACGUUUGUUAUUUGUCUUUGCAGCUUGAAUUCCUGGGGGACAGAGGGGUGUUGAGUUUGAGUUGCUACAGUACUUCCCAGUCAACCGUCUGAAAACGUCACUGUUGCCCGUAGGUCUUUUCUGUGACAGAGCUAUGCUUGGUGAUAGAUAGCAUGUCUUAUCUAUAGACAACAUGGUCUCAUUCAAAUGUGUCGAAAUAGUGCCAUAUUAGCCAUUGUAGUUAUACUCUGUCACCAAAACGAGCACUUGUAUUUAAAAUGAAGACUAAAUGAAGGAUUUUUUUUUUCCAAUUCUUUUGUGAAAUGUGGGAUAAAGAUGUUUUAUAUGCAACUUUUCUACAUUUUAUAAAGGUUUUGUAAAUGAAUGAAUACACAUUGCUCUAUAUAAUGUAUGUAAAGGGAGACAUGAUGUAGUAUAGCCUUGUAUAAAUCGCGGGACUAUGAGGUUAAGGCUGAUGCACAAGUAUAGGCUACAACUGUGGUGUGUACUGUUCUUCUAUGCACAAGAGUACGACAAGGUAUAUGCUAUUACUGUAAAACUAUUACUGUAAAACUACAACAAGGGUUUGUAUCUGCCUAAUAUCUCUCUGUAAUGAUAUCCAAUUACAUUUUUUUUAUACUGCAAAUAAAUCACAUUGUUUAUCACAA